rnacentral:lncRNA from 1 species
AACAACAUACUAUAAUCCCCAAUGAUCAGGUUUCAGUCUCCGUCUCGAUCUUCGCGGAUUCAGCAGCAUCCUCUGCAGAAGGAGGAUCAUCAACGGUAGGUGCCACAGCAGCAGAAUCCUUAUCAACGGCGCUAGAAUCAACGGUAGGUCUAGCCUUAACGGUUUCGAGCAUCUUCUUACUGAUUUCCUUGGAAUACACCUGAAGGAUCUCAAUCCCGUCACCACCGUCAGGAACAGCGGAGUCACC